UACGUAGGGGGCAAGCGUUGUCCGGAAUCAUUGGGCGUAAAGAGCGUGUAGGCGGCCAGGUAGGUCUGCUGUGAAAACUCGAGGCUCAACCUCGAGACGUCGGCGGAAACCAUCUGGCUAGAGUCCGGAAGAGGAGAGUGGAAUUCCUGGUGUAGCGGUGAAAUGCGCAGAUAUCAGGAGGAACACCGGUGGCGAAGGCGGGUCUCUGGGCCGAUACUGACGCUGAGGAGCGAAAGCGUGGGGAGCGAACAGG
rnacentral:rRNA from 1 species